GAUGAACGCUAGCGGCAGGCUUAACACAUGCAAGUCGAGGGGUAUUCCGAUUUAUCGGGAGAGACCGGCGCACGGGUGCGUAACGCGUAUGCAAUCUACCUUUUGCAGCGGGAUAGCCCAGAGAAAUUUGGAUUAAUACCGCAUAGUAUAGUACUUUGGCAUCAAGGCACUAUUAAAGUCACAACGGCAAAAGAUGAGCAUGCGUCCCAUUAGCUAGUUGGUAUGGUAACGGCAUACCAAGGCGACGAUGGGUAGGGGUCCUGAGAGGGAGAUCCCCCACACUGGUACUGAGACACGGACCAGACUCCUACGGGAGGCUG
rnacentral:rRNA from 1 species